rnacentral:rRNA from 1 species
UACGAAGGGGGCAAGCGUUGUUCGGAAUGACUGGGCGUAAAGGGCGCGUAGGCGGUUCGUUGCGUCAGAUGUGAAAGCCCCGGGCUCAACCUGGGAACUGCAUUUGAUACGGGCGAGCUUGAAUCCAAGAGAGGGUGGUGGAAUUCCCAGUGUAGAGGUGAAAUUCGUAGAUAUUGGGAAGAACACCAGUGGCGAAGGCGGCCACCUGGCUUGGUAUUGACGCUGAGG